UGAAUUCAAAGGACGACACUAGCUAC
rnacentral:piRNA from 1 species